rnacentral:rRNA from 1 species
GAUGAACGCUGGCGGCGUGCCUAAUACAUGCAAGUCGAGCGAACAGACGAGGAGCUUGCUCCUCUGAUGUUAGCGGCGGACGGGUGAGUAACACGUGGAUAACCUACCUAUAAGACUGGGAUAACUUCGGGAAACCGGAGCUAAUACCGGAUAAUAUUUUGAACCGCAUGGUUCAAUAGUGAAAGACGGUCUUGCUGUCACUUAUAGAUGGAUCCGCGCUGCAUUAGCUAGUUGGUAAGGUAACGGCUUACCAAGGCAACGAUGCAUAGCCGACCUGAGAGGGUGAUCGGCCACACUGGAACUGAGACACGGUCCAGACUCCUACGGGAGGCAGCAGUAGGGAAUCUUCCGCAAUGGGCGAAAGCCUGACGGAGCAACGCCGCGUGAGUGAUGAAGGUCUUCGGAUCGUAAAACUCUGUUAUUAGGGAAGAACAUAUGUGUAAGUAACUGUGCACAUCUUGACGGUACCUAAUCAGAAAGCCACGGCUAACUACGUG